rnacentral:tRNA from 1 species
UAGAAUUUGGUGUAUUAGGUAGCACGGAGGAUUUUGAGUUCUUAGGUGUAGGUUCGAGGCCUAUAGUUCUAG